rnacentral:rRNA from 1 species
GACGAACGCUGGCGGCGUGCUUAACACAUGCAAGUCGAACGGAUAGGCCCUGCUUUUGUGGGGUGCUCGAGUGGCGAACGGGUGAGUAACAAGUGAGUAACCUGCCCUUGACUUUGGGAUAACUUCAGGAAACUGGGGCUAAUAACGGAUAGGAGCUCCUGCUGCAUGGUGGGGGUUGGAAAGUUUCGGCGGCUGGGGAUGGACUCGCGGCUUAUCAGCUUGUUGGUGGGGUAGUGGCUUACCAAGGCUUUGACGGGUAGCCGGCCUGAGAGGGUGACCGGCCACAUUGGGACUGAGAUACGGCCCAGACUCCUACGGGAGGCAGCAGUGGGGAAUAUUGCACAAUGGGCUGAAGCCUGAUGCAGCAACGCCGCGUGCGGGAUGACGGCCUUCGGGUUGUAAACCUCUUUCGCCUGUGACGAAGCGUGAGUGACGGUAAUGGGUAGAGAAGCACCGGCUAACUACGUG